UUGAAGGAGUCUGCCCUGCCCACAAGGGCUUGGCCGGGCAGCAAGGACUGCGCUCCAUCUGUCUGUCCAGUCCCUCCCUGCGUGUCCCUGAGGUAGCUCCUGGAGGACAGUGGCUGGCACCUUGUCAGGGUCCACACCUGGUUGAUGCAAGAAGGCACAGGGAACUAGCCUCCCAGCAACCCUGGAGCCGGGAGACAAGUCCAGAGGAAGCUGCUGGAGUCCCCAGCAAGACACCUGCCCCGACCCCUCCACACCAGGCAGGCGCCCAGGCUGUGGGAGCUGCUCAGACGCUUGAGAGCCGGCCACUCUCUGUGUACUCCAGACCCACGGGCCAGGAGUGGGCAUGCAGUUAGAGCCCCGACAGCCCACUGAGACAGACACACAAACAGUGGGUCCCUGAGUGUGGGAAACCAAGACGGGCUGGGGCCGAGGCCAGGCCACAGACCCCAGUCGGGCGGCCUGGCUCACUCCCAGCUCUGCCUGGGGCUGGCCACGGCCUUGAUCUGUGCCUUGAUCUCCAGGUUUGUGGCCCUGAGCCUCCCGUGGCACCAUCCCAGCUCCUGUUGAGCAUGGCCCUCCCUGGGAGCCACUGUGGCCACACACACACUCCUCCGAGCACGUUUGUCCAGUCCAACCCCAGGAGACCCCCACCUGCAGCCUGGAGAGGGGUGCAGGCAGGGCAUGCAGCAGGGGCCAGCCCCAUCCCAACCUCCUCCAGCCCCU
rnacentral:lncRNA from 10 species